AUCAUUAUUUAAAACAAAUUAAAGUUUCAAUUGAUUAUUCAGAAGCCUUUUUUCCUUAAUCUUCUUCACUUUUCUCUCUUCUCUAAGCUUCUUCCCCAUCUUUACUCCUCUUCAUGCUUCUCCUUCAAUUUCACGUGAACUUCUUGAACCCUCCUUCGCGCUUUUUCUUUGGCCUUUCUCCUUCGUCUUGAACGCUAUCUUCCUUUCAGGGUUUUAGGGUUCUUCGCAUCGUAUCCUCUCCGUUUCUGGAGUAUUCUUGGAUUCUCAGGGUUUGUUUUCAUUCUCCACUGAUUCGGCUCUCGGUCUCGAGUUCUCUUCCCAAUUUACAUCAUACUGCUGCGUUUCUUCACUGGAGGAGCCUCAUUACAGUUCAAAUCACGCCUUCAGGCCACUUCUCGGAGUUGGUUUUCCAUCAUUACCUUAGGGCUGCUAUAUUCAGGAAUCACGUUCCCUAUCCCUCAUUCUCUUCUCUGUUUCGUUCUUCUUUGCCCUAUUUUCAUGAAAACACGCUUUUAUCAGGUGUUGAUCGCGCCAUUGAUGUACUGGGUUGUAGGAUCUAUGUUUGUGCAGUGAGUUUAGGAACCCAGCUCUCACAAGCUUCGUUGCUCGGGCAAACCCCGAGGGAGAAUGACACUCCUCUGG